UGUAAGCGUAUACCAAAGUUGUUGCAGUUAAAAAGCUCGUAGUUGGAUUUCUGGUGGGAGCGAUCGGUCUGGCGCUUAGCGCGAGUACUUGCAUCGUCUCCGGCCAUCCUUGGGGAGAGUCUGUCUGGCAUUAGGUUGUCGGGCAGAGGAUCCUCAUCGUUUACUGUGAAAAAAUUAGAGUGUUCAAAGCAGGCUUAUGCCGUUGAAUAUAUUAGCAUGGAAUAAUAAGAUAGGACUUUGGUACUAUUUUGUUGGUUUGCGCACCAAAGUAAUGAUUAAUAGGGACAGUUGGGGGUAUUCGUAUUCCGUUGUCAGAGGUGAAAUUCUUGGAUUUACGGAAGACGAACUACUGCGAAAGCAUUUGCCAAGGAUGUUUUCAUUAA
rnacentral:rRNA from 1 species